rnacentral:rRNA from 1 species
GACAGAGGGGGCAAGCGUUGCUCGGAAUUACUGGGCGUAAAGGGCGCGUACGGCGGAAUGGCAAGUCGGUCGUGAAAUCCUUCGGCUCAACCGAAGAACGUCGAUCGAAACUGCCGUUCUUGAGGAUUGCAGAGGAGACUGGAAUUCCCGGUGUAGCGGUGAAAUGCGUAGAUAUCGAGAGGAACACCUGGAGGUGAAGACGGGUUGCUGGGCCGACACUGACGCUGAGUGCGGCGAAAGCCAGGGGGAGCAAACGGG